rnacentral:rRNA from 1 species
GAUGAACGCUAGCGGCAGGCCUAAUACAUGCAAGUCGAACGGUAAGGCCCUUUCGGGGGUACACGAGUGGCGGACGGGUGCGUAACGCGUAUGCAACAUGCCUUCCAGCGGGGGAUAUACCAGGGAAACUUGGCGCAAUACCCCAUAGAAUUACGGGACCGCAUGGUCUUGUGAUUAAAACUCCGGUGCUGGGAGAUUGGCAUGCGUGACAUUAGCUAGUUGGCGGGGUAACGGCCCACCAAGGCGACGAUGUCUAGCUGGUCUGAGAGGAUGAUCAGCCACACUGGGACUGAGACACGGCCCAGACUCCUACGGGAGGCAGCAGUGGGGAAUCUUGCGCAAUGGGCGAAAAGCCUGACGCAGCAACGCCGCGUGCGGGAUGAAGGCCCUCGGGUUGUAAACCGCUUUCAGCAGGGACGAAGAUGACGGUACCUGCAGAAGAAGCCCCGGCCAACUACGUGCCAGCAGCCGCGGUAAAUGUAGUCGUGU